AUCAUGGACACAGAGGACAAGACUGAAUUACAGGACCAUGAGGACUCGGCAGUUUUAUCAAUAAACCAAUGUAAACAUAACCUGACUAUGAGCUUCGCGAGUUAACAUUAGGGCCUGUAUCAGUGUAUGAAAACUGCCUGGCAAGAUUAAAAGCUUGGAAUGGAGAAUUGGGCAUCAACUUUCAUCACCAAUUUAACAGUGUUUUUAAUGAGGUAUGAGACAGAAAAAGAGGGCAAAGAAACAUGUAAACCAGUAUAAAGUUGGGAAGGCCUACCAGUACUUCCAGAGCCAGUGACUGUCACUGAAAGAAGUGUUUUAUCACCCUAUUGACAGAACCAGUCCAUAUUGCUUUCAGUGUGCCGCAUUUACCCCUCACAGAGCCUGUGUUCUGAGCCUCAUACAGUGUUUGGACAAACAUGUACCAAUCAUGUUGCAGGAUUAAGGAUAGUGAGGAGGACAACCUUUAAGCAACCUUUUCAGAUGCAUUUAGAGAAACCUUACCCGAUGCUUGUUUAUUUAAAGGUCUAGAUAUUGAUCCACCUCACCAAGCCAAGGGGAAGGAACCACAUGCUUCUGGAGCAGUUAUGAUUGAGGAGGAUUGCUUACAGAACGACGUCCAACAAUACUACAUGAAAUCUAUGUUGUCAUCAUUUGAACAAUCUGACACUAGCAUCAAGAUCCAUCCCUUUAC